UACGUAGGGGGCAAGCGUUGUCCGGAAUUAUUGGGCGUAAAGAGCGCGUAGGCGGCCAGAUAAGUCCGCUGUGAAAUCUCGAGGCUCAACUUCGAGCUGUCGGUGGAAACUAUCUGGCUAGAGUCCGGAAGAGGAGAAUGGAAUUCCUGGUGUAGCGGUGAAAUGCGCAGAUAUCGGGAGGAACAUCAGUGGCGAAGGCGGCCAUCUGGAUCAACACUGACGCUGAGGCACGAAAGCGUGGGGAGCAAACAGG
rnacentral:rRNA from 1 species